rnacentral:rRNA from 1 species
AUUUUUAAAUGUUUCUUUUAGUCUAUGGCCGAUCCCGUCUGAUCUCAGAAACUAAGCAGGGUCGGGCCUGGUUAGUACUUGGAUGGGAGACCACCUAGGAAGACCAGGUGCUGUAGGCG